AACGAACGCUGGCGGCAUGCCUAACACAUGCAAGUCGAACGAGACCUUCGGGUCUAGUGGCGCACGGGUGCGUAACGCGUGGGAACCUGCCUUUAGGUUCGGAAUAACUCAGAGAAAUUUGAGCUAAUACCGGAUGAUGUCUUCGGACCAAAGAUUUAUCGCCUUUAGAUGGGCCCGCGUUGGAUUAGCUAGUUGGUGGGGUAAAGGCCUACCAAGGCGACGAUCCAUAGCUGGUCUGAGAGGAUGAUCAGCCACACUGGGACUGAGACACGGCCCAGACUCCUACGGGAGGCAGCAGUGGGGAAUAUUGGACAAUGGGCGAAAGCCUGAUCCAGCAAUGCCGCGUGAGUGAUGAAGGCCUUAGGGUUGUAAAGCUCUUUUACACGAGAUGAUAAUGACAGUAUCGGGAGAAUAAGCUCCGGCUAACUCCGUG
rnacentral:rRNA from 1 species